rnacentral:lncRNA from 1 species
AACAGGUGUUAAGAGGAAGAGAGGAGCAAAUAUAUAUAUGGCACUCCAGGAAGAUGAAGCUUGCUUUGCUGUGACUAAAGAGAACUUGUAAGGAAGCCUGUGUCCAUAGAUUGUCAUGGUAGCUUGCAACCUUUACUUUCUUUACGUGUGUCAAGUAAUUCCAGGGAGUAGACGUGUAUGCAGCUGUAGUCUGGGAGGUCUGAUGUUAGGGAAAAAGGAGGAAAGCAAGAUUAAAAAUCAUUCCUGGAAAUGCAAGAGCAAAUGUGCUGGAGUGGUGCUGUGAGUACCAGGGACACUGGACAAGAAAGAUAAGCAAGCCACUGCCGUCUGAUUCCUACAUAGCAGGUUAAAGUGUUGCAUUCAUAAUUCCCACUUCAGGAAGACUGAAAACCAGACUUUAUUCUGUUAGAUCCCAAGAUAUCAAGGAAGAGGAAAAGGGAAGAGCCCCAGGCACUAUUAAACCACAGCUACAAUCACUGCCAUUUGAAACUUCCCACCAAACAACUUUACUAUUCUGAUUUAAUUUCAACUCCCAGGGAGAGUUAGUAUUAGGAGGAAGUACCUAUCAUCCAUGAUAAUCCACCAGCUCUGGGGGUUUAGAAGGGAAAGGAUGGAGGUCUCAGUGCUUGCGGC